GGAUGUUUUAUGUGUUAUUGUAGAGGAUGCAAUGUGUGUGUGUUCUUAUAGAAUGUAGUGUAUAGGGAUACCAAUUUCUGUAAGGGAUAUAGUGUGUUUAUAGGGGAUGCAGUGUGUGUUUGUGUGUAAGGAAUGCAUUGUAUGUUUCUGGGUGUGUGUGUAAGGGAUGCAAGGUGUGUUUCUGUGUAUUUAAUUGAAUGCAGUGUGUGUCUGUAAGGGGUGCAUUGAUUGUGUAAGAGAUGCAUUUUGUUUCUGUGUGUAAGAGAAUGAGUUUGUGUGAACGUAAGGGAUGCAUUGUGUUUCAGGUGUGUGAGUAGGAAUGCAUUGUAUGUUUCUGUGUGUGUGUGUGUGUGGGGGGAUGCAUUGUGUAUGUGUGAAGUGUAAAAGAGAGGGUUUGUGGGGUAGGAUAGAGACUGAGAGGGGAGCAGCUCUUUAUUUUUUAAAUUUUUUGCAUAGUGCUCACCCUCCUGUCAAUUAUUGAUUUCCCCUUCCCUCCUGUCCC